GGUAACCGAUCGGCAGGUGCUUCCAGUUCGGGGUGAGCGGCUCCGGCGCGUCGGGGCGGAAGAUGCGGCCCACGUUGGAGGCGUGGUGCUCGCUG
rnacentral:tRNA from 1 species